rnacentral:rRNA from 1 species
UACGAGUGCCCCAAGCGUUAUCCGGAAUUAUUGGGCGUAAAGGGUGUGUAGGCGGUUGUGUUAGUCUCAUGUGAAAUUCUUCGGCUUAACCGGGGUACCGCAUGGGAUACGGCACAACUAGAGGAUGCGAGGGGUGAGUGGAACUCAUGGAGUAGGGGUGAAAUCCGUUGAUAUCAUGGGGAACACCGAAAGCGAAGGCAGCUCACUGGCGCACUCCUGACGCUGAAACACGAAAGCGUGGGUAGCGAAUGGG